rnacentral:lncRNA from 1 species
UUGUUUUCACUAAUCAAUGACAAAAUACUUGGGCGUUUUUAUAGUAAAAGAAAAUCUAAGCAAAUGAGCUGAUUGGAGAACUCUAGAGACACCACCACCUCAAACUAGAUAAUGUUCACCUUAUCCACUCCAUUUUUAAAAUAUCUUCCCAUCACCCUUAUCUACUAUUCAUAUGUCAUUAAUAAAUUCAGCUGGUUUUUACACUUCAUUUUCGUACUUGCAGCGUCACACACGAUCCCGUACCAAAAAAUGCAGGCAGCCUUGAGCUUGGCACCUUCACCUCUCUCCAUAGUUACAACUACAAAACCCUUGUUUCCGCCAUGUAAAUCCAUGCUAAAAUUGCAGACUCCAAGAGGUUUCAAAGCAUCACCUGUUGGAC